GGUCUUGGACCUGGGAAUGAUCAAGGGUGAAGGUUCCCCCUCCUUUACUUUGGCAGUACUUCCUCAUGAAAUGUGACCAUCUGCAAAAAGGAAAACAAUGCAAGAAGAAUUUCUGACAGACAAUGAUUGAGUUUCUGCUCCAACUCUGCUAGGAAUGGAGAAUUCACUACUUCAAAAGGGAAGAUUUACUUUACUUUUCAGGAGCCUGGGAGUACUACUACCACCCUGAGAUUAAUCCAGUUUCAUGAAUUGAAAUCAUUUGAAGGGUCAUAUGGAGGAUGGGCCACGUGAAGACAGAGGCAGAGAUUGGAGAGAUGUGGCUAUGUGCCAAGAACCUGAAGGAUUGCUAGCAACCCUCAACAGCCAGAAGAAAGGCGUGGGGUAGACUCUCCCUCAGAGCCUCUAGACGGAACCAAGCCUACUUUACCGUGAUUUUGGGCUACGGCCUUCUGAGCUGCAAGAAUGUGAAUUUCUGUUGUUCUAAUCUAAGUUUGUGAUAAUUUUUAUGGAAGCCACAAGAAACUAAUACGGGGUGGUGUGAUCUAAUUCAUGUGAUGGAAGGUCACUCUGGAGGCUGUCUGAAGAUAAACUCUAGGGGGCCAAGACCAAUGGUGGCAUUGAGGCCUGUUUGGAUGGGGUACAGGGGUCCAGGUCACAGAUCACAUCACUAGAAAUAGGGUGGUGUCUGGGCAGAUGAUGAGAAGCUCUCAGUUUCAGGAUAUAUUUGGGAAACCCUACAGGCUCUACUCUUGGAUUAGAUGUUGAGGGAGGCCUGUGAGAUGAGGAAGAGGGGUUAAAUGUGACCCUUGGGUUUGCAGUUUAUGCAACUGGUAUGAUUUAUUGAGAGGAAGAGGCUCAGGGAGCUGAGCUGGGAUUGAGGUUUAUGUUUUUAUCAUGCUGAGUUUGAGAUACCUAUUUGAAUCCUAAAUAGAGACGCUGAGCUAAGCAUUUAGCCUUCAUAGUCUAGGGCUUUAGGGAGAAGUAGGCACAGUAUACAAUCUGAAAGGCAUCAGCAUAUAGGUGAUAUUUAAAAUCUUGGGACUAGAGAGAAUAGAUACUGAAGAGAGAAGAGCUGAUGUCAGAACUUUGCGACAGUCAGAGAAAAUUUAGAGAUGUGGCAGAGACAAAGGAGCCUGGAAAAACGUGGAGAGGGGUGAAAGAGGAAUACCAGGCAGAGGUGGGAUUGCAGAAGUCACCUAAGAGAGUGUUCCUACAAGGGAGGGAUCAGCCCCAAGUGCUGCUGAGGGCUUGAGCAAGAUGAAGACUCAGGUGAGUGUUACCUAAGCUUGAGGUAGGUCUUUGGUGACCUGUUUCAGGAAGGAGGUGGAGGUGAAAGUUUGCUGGGGGCACCAGGAGGUAGUGAGGGUGAGUCCAGAAAACUCUUUGGAGAAGUUUGUCUCUGAAAGGAAGCUUGGAUGUGUGGUUUGCUGGAGGGCUGCGGAAUCAAGGGAGAAAAGGAUUAAUGGGGGAGGGGGUGUGUCCUUGAGGAGAAGGGUAGGAUUCAAGGAAUGAGUGUGGUCUUGGCCUUUGCAGCUCAGGGGCAAUUUUUCUGUUGUAUGAGGUAAGGGGCCUGUGGGCAGGGCUGCUGAUGGGCUGUGGAGGCAGCUGGUUGCUGGUAGACAGGGUAGGGAAGUUGAGCUCAGGACCAAUGAUGAGGGCUGCCAUCCCUGCUGCAGGACCUUUGCAGGGGAGACACCCCAGUCUCAGAGGUGGUUUGUCCAAUACAAGUGGCAGGGGCCCAGGACUCUGUGUCAAACAAUGAACUAAAAAAAAGGUAUCUCCUCUCCCUUGAGGGUCAGGAACCACUGCUUUCUUUCUUCCCUCCACCCUCCUUCCCCUCCCCAUCCACUCUCAGUGAUUCUGAGGGGUCAGAGCAUUUUUCUGUUAAACCCUUUAAAUACCAAGGGUCUGAUUAUAUUCCCUGUUUCUAGAAUAAUCUUGUUCCUACUUUUCAAAUAAAGCCAA